CCAGAUUUGAAUCCCAGUGGUUUCUGGAUCAGAUCCCCCUCUCCAGGAAAAUCCUGUUAACGGUUCUUCUGGGUCACCCAACCAAUUUGAAUGGCCACUUUCCUUCUACAGAAGUAAGAAAUUUCUAUUAAAUCUUAAAUUAAAAAUUUUAUGCAUCAAGGAUAAUCUAUGAGCUUAUUUCGCUUUUUUGGACAUUAAAGUCUCACUUUUUACUUGAAAUAAAAUAAUUCUAUCUUACCUGAGAAUAUAAGUA
rnacentral:lncRNA from 1 species